rnacentral:lncRNA from 1 species
AUGACUACGAAGGGACCCAAACAGACUUCUCUCCUUCAUCUGAACUUGAUGAGGACCUGGAGCUUGGUGCCAGCAGAGGCCUCUUGGGCCCGUCCACCUCUUCAGAGAGCCCAGAGGAAUCUGGGUCACUUCCUGCCUCUGGACUCGCCUGUCCGUGGACACUGUGUGUGCUGCCACGUGUUCUCUGUUGUCCACGGUGCUGUUUGGGUUUCUCCCAGGACACUCUUAAGAGGUGAGCCUGCCCAAUCACCCUGUGGCUGAAAAUUGUCAGCUUUUCAGGGCACUUCUCUACUGUUCUUCAUACUAGUUGUUACCUCCCAGCUGCCCCGUAAAUUAGUUCCCUUUUUUCUCCACAGCCUCUCCACCAUUUAUUCUUUCCUCUUUUUUUUUUUUUGUAUUGACUUUCUGAUGAUGGCUCUUCAUAUGGAACCGGUUUAUUCCUUUUCAAAUUAAAUUUUCCUGUGUAUGGAUUCACGAUAUUGAGCAUGUUUCAUGGACGUUUUAAACUGUUAACAAGGAAACUAGCAUUUACCAGUUGUAAUUAGUUUUCCAAGUCUUUUCCUUUUGCAAAAAAUUAUUUUUGAUUAGUUGUAUGAAAAUUGUUUGACAGCAGGUAUCAUUUACAGUCUAGGAAUGGGCUUUAGGUUCCGGGUGUUGGAAACAGCCACAAGAUGGCAGCACUUCUUCAUGCUCCACUCUGGUACUAUGCUAAUGAAGCCUUAGGGUCAGUUUGACUAUCUGACUCUACCUUAGGUUGAAUAUACCAGCUGGAACCACUGUCAGCUUAUGUCUUAUUACUUUUUUUUUUUUUUAGUUUUUAUAUUUCUUGUAGUACAUUUGGUUUAUUGUUGUGGAGGUUGUAGGUAUACAGGAUCUCAUUUAGUUGUACACAUAUACAUAUCUGUUCAACUGUUGCCCUCUUUUCACAUGUAAGGUGUUACACAGUGUUCUGUUACCCGCUUUCCUAUGUAGCUGUUGGUUCCUUGUUGACAGUCUUAUAUAUCAGUGUGAUACAUCACUCCCAACCUCCUGAUGAAUCCCAUCUUGCCUUCCCCCUUGGUAACCAUGCGCUUGUUUUCUAAGUCUGUGCAUCUCUUUCACUUUCAUAAAUUAGUGGAUUGGUAUCAAUUUUUCCAUUUCACAUACAACUGAUAUAUGAUGUUUGUCUUUUUCUGACUUACCUUAGUACUGUAUCCCAUAUUGUCUCCCAAUUCAUAGGUUACUACAAAUGGCAUUAUUUCUUUUUCAUGGCAGAAUCCUA